rnacentral:rRNA from 1 species
CGUAGGGUGCGAGCGUUGUCCGGAUUUAUUGGGCGUAAAGAGCUCGCAGGCGGCUUGUUGCGUCAGCUGUGAAAACCCGCGGCUUAACCGUGGGCCUGCAGCUGAUACGGGCAAGCUAGAGUUCGGUAGGGGAGACUGGAAUUCCUGGUGUAGCGGUGAAAUGCGCAGAUAUCAGGAGGAACACCGGUGGCGAAGGCGGGUCUCUGGGCCGAUACUGACGCUGAGGAGCGAAAGCGUGGGGAGCGAACAGGAUUAGAUACCCUGGUAGUCCACGCUGUAAACGUUGGGCGCUAGGUGUGGGGGUCCUCUCCGGGUCCCUGUGCCGCAGCUAACGCAUUAAGCGCCCCGCCUGGGGAGUACGGCCGCAAGGCUA